GAUGAAUGCUGGCGGCGUGCCUAAUACAUGCAAGUCGUACGGAAAGGCCCUUCGGGGUACUCGAGUGGCGGACGGCUGAGUAACGCGUGGGAACGUGCCCCAAAGUGAGGGAUAACGCACCGAAAGGUGUGCUAAUACCGCAUAUGGUCUUCGGAUUAAAGCUUCGGCGCUUUGGGAGCGGCCCGCGUACGAUUAGAUAGUUGGUAGGGUAAUGGCCUACCAAGUCGACGAUCGUUAGCUGGUCUGAGAGGAUGAUCAGCCAGACUGGAACUGAGACACGGUCCAGACUCCUACGGGAGGCAGCAGUAAGGGAUCUUCCACGAUGGGGGCAACCCUGAUGGAGCAACGCCGCGUGCAGGAUGAAGGCCCUCGGGUCGUAAACUGCUUUUAUGAGUGAAGAAUAUGACGGUAACUCAUGAAUAAGCACCGGCUAACUACGUGCCAGCCGCCGCCGUAA
rnacentral:rRNA from 1 species